UUUUCUUUAAAUAACAAUAUCUCAUGGUUACGGAUGACGUGGAGGAGGGGAGAGUAGAACAUAUUUGGCACUUUGCAUAGGGACCUUCAUGUUAACUUUUUUUUUAACCUUACCUACAUGUUGACUUUUCUCAUAUUGGCAACCUAAGACUUCAAGAGGCAGCAUGAUGUACAAAAUGUCUCUGUUUCUAGACAAAGGGAUAAAAUGUGAAAAAUCAUCUGCUUUUUUUUUGCGAGGAAAAAUUUGUUUGCUUUUAUAGCCACAAAUGUGUGUGGAUUGAUGGUUUAGGUUAUUUAUCUUCAUGUUUGUUUGCCCCAACAGCCACCAUUUACGUUACCUUGACGAUUGAUGCUAUGUUUUUCUUUUCAAAAAGGAGGAACCUCGGUCUCCAUC
rnacentral:lncRNA from 1 species